rnacentral:rRNA from 1 species
UACGAAGGGGGCUAGCGUUGCUCGGAAUGACUGGGCGUAAAGAGCGCGCAGGCGGUAUGACAAGUCAGAUGUGAAAGAGGCCGGCUUAACCGGCAAGGGUCAUUUGAAACUGUCAGACUAGAGUGCAGCAGAGGAUAGUGGAAUUCCCGGUGUAGUGGUGAAAUGCGUAGAUAUCGGGAGGAACACCAGUGGCGAAGGCGACUAUCUGGGCUGCAACUGACGCUGAGGCGCGAAAGCGUGGGGAGCGAACAGG